UCCUCACUGUUCCUGCACACUGAGUGAGAGUGAGAGAGAGAGAGAGAGGACAAAAGGAGCUAAAUAUUAAAUGCUUAAUUUUUCACACUCUUCAUUUUGGAUUUAUCUUGUGUAUGCAUUGCUCUGACA